AAAGGCAAAGGCAUAAGGCUGACAGUCCUUGAGCUUUCCUUGCAAGGUCUGAAUAGCUGAAUAUAAUUUGUUUCUAAUUCUCAUUGUAAAAAGACAUUUACUUAGAAGAAAAACCUAUUAGGAGGAAACAGAUGAUGCUUUGUGCAUAACCAAGUGAACAAAGGAAUCUUUUUACCAGGAUCCAUCAUCUCAAGGAGACGCUGCAGCUCCUUUGGAAAAUUUCUCUCAGAAUAGCACAAUAUCUUUGGCUCAAGCUGUAGCUGCUUGAAAAUCCAUGUGUCUAAGAUGCAACACCUUUUGGAAGAUCCUUUUGCAACAACAGUUGUACUUACAACUUCAACCCCUGGGAGCAUCAGUUCCACCUUACAGCAAAUCCUUCAACAUAGCAAUGCUGUGUCCUUGCCCUAAAAUCUGCCCAGGAGGAGGCAGUGAGCAGGCUGCAGCUCUCUGCCAAGGACAGACAGGUGCUGGAUGCUGUUUUCCUGGGAGAACCACAGUGGAAUGGCACAGCUCCUCCUGGGAAAACCAGAAAAACCCCAGUGUGUAUGGGAUGUCCUGCAGGAAUAUAAAAAGCACAGUAUGUAUGGUUUGACAAGGUCCUAGCAAAGUUAUGGCCCAGAUCCACCAUAUGAGGAGAGUCUGCAGAGAUCUUUGGAUGAGAUUCACCUGUUUGCUGGCAUGAUAAGCAGAGAUAUCCCUCUGCUAUGCCCUGCUGUGGCAGCAUUUUUUGCCUUGAGGCUUUCCUGCCAAAUAUCAUAUUUUGAAAUAAUACUACAUUCUAAAGAGUUGUAGAGUUAUUCCACUUGGAGUUUUUUAGAAUCAUACUCUUAUAACACCAAAUUCUUAGACUGAUUUAAAAACAUACAGUUGUCUUGAGACUUUCAUAAUAAAAUCAAUGUGCAGUUUGAGUGAACUCAUUACUAGCUAGAUUAAAAACAGAGUAAGUGAAUGCUUUUCCAAUUAUUAUGUUAAAAAAGUGAUUGGAAAUCUCUGAUUUAAGAAGCUUGUGGAAAUAAAUUACGACUGCUUUCCAGUA